ensembl:lncRNA
UAAUGCAAGAGGAAGAGACCAAGAUCCUAUCACCUUUGUUCCUCAUCACUGACUCCUGACUGUGAGCCCUUGCCUUAUGUAAGCCCCCACACUCCUCAUGGAAUGGGGGUGGGAAGGGCACAGUUCUUGAGACAUGAGCCUACUGUGUUCCCCUCUCCACUGGCUGAGAGUAAAAGCCACCUUUCUAUUUCCUCCAAACUCUGUCCAUAUUUUUCACUGGGCUUCUGUGGACAGAGAAGGCCAAGAUUUUGGCUGGCCACAAGAGGAUGCUUUGGGGUUAGAGUCAGUAAUACUCACUGAAGAGGGUGAACAGGAAAAUCUUGAAAACUCCUUGCCAGAGAGCCUGGAAGCUGGUUGGCCAAACAUAAUCAUGAGUGUUCUUAAUUCCUCUUGUCUGAUCACUAGUCAGUCAAUUUCACUGCAGCCUGUGUGUGUCUGUCCCCUGGAAAGCCUUGUGGCUAGACCCAGUGGUCCUCGUGGGCCUGUACUACCUCCUCCUGGCACCAGGAGGUGGUGACCACCUCCAGGACAAGUUCAUCUUCAUCACGGGCUGUGACUCAGGCUUCGAGAAACUGCUGGGCGGGCAGCUUGAUAUAUUACAGAAACCAGCACAAUAUUAUCCUUCAAUUAAAACUUUAAAAGAAAAAAAAUAGGGCAAAAGAAAAACCCUUAGGAUUUGAUUCCUGCAGGGUAGUUUCCUUCAAUCUGGUGAACCUUUUCCGAGGAGAUGGGCUAGAGUGAUCUCUUAUAUGAGUGGGAGGACAGGUGGGGUUUUCUGGGGUAGAGGGUGAACUCUGUGUUCUGUGGGUGAUGGGUAAAGAGAGGGAGCCCAACCUCCCCUCCAAAUACCACAUGUAAUUCCCCAGAUUCCUGCAGGGACAAGACUCAGUAUUGAUGGGGUGUUUCAAGCCCAGGCUCUAGAGGUCAAUAUCGGGCCUGUCCACAAUUUCCCCCCAAACGAGGAUUUCAAUCGUAUUUAUCCACACAAUCUGCAUCCAUACUAUAGUCGUAUUUGUUUUUGUCUUUUAUCCAAUGUCUCUUUUUUGUCUCUCUUGCCCUCAUUCUCUCACUGUCUCUCUCUCUUUCCCUCUCUUUCCCUUAUAUUAGCUGUUAACCACUCAGUCCUGAAGGUGUCAGAAAAUCUGAGCAGCUAGGGAAUAUUUAUCAUGUCUGCAAAGACAAUAGGGACUGUGAAAGACACAACUUCACCCUCUGAGUUAGAGACUAUAGACACACAAGUUGUCCUCAAGCUCCAUACUUCCCUUCAUCAGCUCUGGGGUGCUAGUUCUUUGUCACCAGGCAGUAGGCGUGGUGUGAAGACUUGAGCCAAGAGGGAGCACACCUUCUGUCCUCCCACUGCUCACAGGGUCUGGACUCUGCAAACCCCCAGGAGCGUGUUGGUCUCUGCUCCAGCCCCUCCCCUGCAGCCUCUCUCCUAAAGUCCUUCCGGGUCGGAGGGUGAAUGGCACCAUGGCUCAGUCCUCUCUCCUGGGCCCAGCUCAGUGUUGCUCUCUCGUCCUCUCUCUUCCCAG